rnacentral:rRNA from 1 species
AUUGAACGCUGGCGGCAGGCCUAACACAUGCAAGUCGAGCGAGCGGCGGAAGGGUGAGUAAGGCCUAGGAAUCUGCCUGGGAGUGGGGGAGAACGUCCGGUAAAGGGAGCUAAUACCGCAUACUAUCAGUAUAGGCUAGGCCGGAGUAGAUAGCGGGAGGGGUAAAGGCCUACCAAGGCGACGAUCCGUAACUGGUCUGAGAGGAUGAUCAGCCACACUGGAACGGAGACACGGUCCAGACUCCUACGGGAGGCAGCAUUGGGUAAUAUUGCACAAUGGGCGCAAGCCUGAUGCAGCCAUGCCGCGUGUAUGAAGAAGGCCUUCGGGUUGUAAAGUACUUUCAGCGGGGAGGCGUUACCCGCAGAAGAAGCACCGGCUAACUCCGUGCCAGCCGCCGCGGUAAUAC